AACUGAUACUACCUGCGGGAACCUGCGGAAGGAUCAUUACCGAGUUUACAAAACUCCCAAACCCUUUGUGAACCUUACCUAUCGUUGCUUCGGCGGGACCGCCCCGGCGCCCUCGCGGCCCGGAACCAGGCGCCCGCCGGAGGCCCCAAACCCUCAUGUCUUUAGUGGUUUCCUCCUCUGAGUGACAUAAACAAAUAAAGUAAAAACUUUCAACAACGGAUCUCUAGAUCGGAAGAGCAC
rnacentral:misc_RNA from 1 species